AGCUCAAGAAUCUCUUUCGUUGGAAGAUAAUGGAGUCUGGUAAGUUUCCUUUUGGUCUAGAUUGAUUAUAAUUAUUUUUAUUAUUAUUCAUACUGAUGUUAAUAUAGUAUGGUUAUUUAGAAUGUUGCUAGAACGUAAUUAGAAUGUCAAAUAUAAUACAAUGUUUUUAAACCAAAUUAUAUUAUAGUAAUGUUUCGUUCUAUUCUUUUAAAAUAGGUAACAUUCAGAAAUGUUUUUAAUAGUUAUGUAAUAAUUCAACAUUCAGCAACUAUCAAUGCAACGAAACACCAGGGGUCAAUUAUAUCGAAAAACCUCCAACUCCAUACGAACUGACUGCUGAAACAAGAAGCAGCAGUCCCACUUACAUCACUAAUACUCCACCCAACAGCUCCACAAUUCCAGGGUGUGAUUCUCCUGCGUAUGCCAAUAACGGUAAUCAAUCUCCAUACAAUGUAAUCCUGAACUCUCCAUCCUACUCCCCAACAAUCCCUAAUCGUGAAUCUGAUCAACAAUCCCCUGCGAAAGGUUAUCAGUACAGCCAUAAUGACACGCUUUCCGAUUCCGAUGUUAACGCCAAUGAUGAUCUGAGGGACGAUCUACGCGAUCUACUCCACCUUCACAAGUCUGUGUCUUUGACGUUCAAGAAACUCAUGCGCGUGAAAACACACGGGUCAAGAGUUCAAAGUAAGCAUGUUCAUGCAUUGUGUAAGAAACGUGUGAGCCUUUAUAUGAAUCAAUGUACUACCCUACUCAAUAAACACCAUGUCUAGGAAAAGGUGUGAUAAUUGUUUUAAUGUUGAAGCCAAGAGGUGUAAAAUCAGACAGGAAUCUGAAUAUGUCCCCAUCACAUCCGAU